rnacentral:rRNA from 1 species
UACGUAGGGUGCAAGCGUUAAUCGGAAUUACUGGGCGUAAAGCGAGUGUAGGCGGCUUGGCAAGUCGGAUGUGAAAGCCCCGGGCUCAACCCGGGAAGUGCACUCGAUACUGCUUAGCUUGAGUGUCGGAGAGGUUGGUGGAAUUCUCGGUGUAGAGGUGAAAUUCGUAGAUAUCGAGAGGAACAUCGGCGGCGAAGGCGGCCAACUGGACGAACACUGACGCUGAGACUCGAAAGCGUGGGGAGCGAACAGG